GCUGGGGUAGCUCAACGGUAGAGCAAUGACUUCGUAAGUCAGAGGUUCCGGGUUCAAAUCCCGGUCCCAGCU
rnacentral:tRNA from 3 species